rnacentral:RNase_P_RNA from 2 species
GGAGUAGAUCGGGCGGUCGCCGGGGUUCGUCCUCGGAGGAAAGUCCGGGCUUCGCAGAGCGGGAUGCUGGGUAACUCCCAGGGGAGGCAACUUCCGGAAAGUGCCACAGAAAAGAUACCGCCGCUCGAUGGGAGCCCCCGAGCGGUAAGGGUGAAAAGGUGAGGUAAGAGCUCACCCGGGCAGCGGGUGACCGCGGCCCGAGGUAAACCCCAUCCGAAGCAAGGCCAAAUAAGGGGUCGCCAAGGGUUGCUCGCCCGAGAUCCCGGGUAGGCCGCUCGAGCCCGUCGGUAACGCCGGGCCUAGAGUAAUGACCGCCGCCAUGGGCACCCAUGGCACAGGACCCGGCUUACAGAUCUGCUUCUCGG